GUGAAAUCCCAGGAUGGGCGGGGUGACCCGCUGAGUUUAAGCAUAUCAAUAAGCGGAGGAGGGAAAACUUACGAGGAUUCUCCUA
rnacentral:rRNA from 1 species